CAAGAUGAGUAAAGUGGCGCAAGGGUGAGUAACACGUGAGCAACCUACCCCUCAGUUGGGGAUAACCAGCCGAAAGGUUGGCUAAUACCGAAUGGCGGCGCGGGACUUCGGUUUUCGCGUCUAAAGAUGGCCUCUAUUUAUAAGCUAUCGCUAAGGGAUGGGCUCGCGCUGCAUUAGCUGGUUGGUGAGGUAACGGCUCACCAAGGCUACGAUGCAUAGCUGGUCUGAGAGGACGACCAGUCACACUGGAACUGAGACACGGCCCAGACUCCUACGGGAGGCAGCAGUGGGGAAUAUUGCGCAAUGGGGGAAACCCUGACGCAGCGAUGCCGCGUGGGUGAAGAAGGCCUUCGGGUUGUAAAGCCCUUUCAGUGGGGAAGAUAGUGACGGUACCCACAGAAGAAGCUCCGGCUAACUCCGUGCCAGCAGCCGCGGUAAUACGGAGGGGGCGAGCGUUGUUCGGAAUUACUGGGCGUAAAGGGCGCGUAGGCGGUGCAGCAAG
rnacentral:rRNA from 1 species